rnacentral:rRNA from 1 species
GACGAACGCUGGCGGCGUGCUUAACACAUGCAAGUCGAACGAAGAGCGAUGGAAGCUUGCUUCUAUCAAUCUUAGUGGCGAACGGGUGAGUAACGCGUAAUCAACCUGCCCUUCAGAGGGGGACAACAGUUGGAAACGACUGCUAAUACCGCAUACGAUCUAAUCUCGGCAUCGAGGAUAGAUGAAAGGUGGCCUCUACAUGUAAGCUAUCACUGAAGGAGGGGAUUGCGGCUGAUUAGCUAGGUGGAGGGGUAACGGCCCAACAAGGCGAUGAUCAGUAGCCGGUCUGAGAGGAUGAACGGCCACAUUGGGACUGAGACACGGCCCAGACUCCUACGGGAGGCAGCAGUGGGGAAUCUUCCGCAAUGGACGAAAGUCUGACGGAGCAACGCCGCGUGAGUGAUGACGGCCUUCGGGUUGUAAAGCUCUGUUAAUCGGGACGAAAGGCCUUCUUGCGAAUAGUGAGAAGGAUUGACGGUACCGGAAUAGAAAGCCACGGCUAACUACGUG